rnacentral:lncRNA from 1 species
UUAAUUAUAUUUAUUUAGAAUUAAUUAAAAAUAAAUCAAUAAAAUAAUAAUAAUAAUAAUAAUAAUAAUAAAUAAAUUUUUUUUUUGGGUGUUACAGUUUCACCUUCGGGUUGUGAAGUAGGAAUUUAAGACAUUGGACGAUCAUGGACAGAUUCCUCACUAUUGACGUUGAUAUCAACACUGACGUUUCGGGACCCAUACUCAUCACAUCCUCAACUCCCGCUGCAUUUGUGUUAACAUUCAUAUUCGUUUGUCUUUGAAUGGUAUGUGCUGUGUCGCUACCAACUCCGUUAGCUCUAUCUCUUCUAAACAUUUCUAACAUUUUGUCGUAAUUUCGAACUCGUUUGUUCUUAAGUUCAGCUGCUUCUAGAUUAGCCUAUUAUAAAAUAUGAUGUUAAUAUUUAAAUUAUAUAAAAUAUUACAAGUAACAUAUGAUUCACUUUUUGAUUUACUUCUAUUAGUUAUUGCUAGACCUCCUCUUCAGGUUCAAAUUUUUUAGUUAAUGGAUUCCAUGCAAAACCACUCAGCCCAUGUUUGAAUACGUCAUACCAUUUUGAGAACUACCUUUUAAAAUUUUUAAUGCGAUUGUGGACUCGCUCUUUUACAAUUGGCAUGUUUGGGUAGGUGCGCUUCAAGUCUGAAAUGAUACAAGCAAUAGCUUAUGUGGUGAAUGUUCCACCUGAUUUGCGGCCCAAGCAAUGUUGAGAGUAAAAUGCUUAUACUUAUGCAUUAUCCAAUGCAUCAGUCCAGUGGAUAAUGUUACCCACUCGAUCUGCAGAAUUAUUCCUACUAUCCAUUUUAUACAACACUGCAACACAGAACCAAAAAAUAUAAAGUUACCAUUAAGAACAAAGAACGCAUCAGUCCAGUAGACAAAGUUAUCAUUGUCA